UUGGUCAAGGUAGUUGACUACUUUCUAUAUUGCUUUUUUUUGUUAGUUUAGAGAAGGGGCAAGGCAAGGCGUGUGUAAACAGGGGAAUGUUUCGACCUUUACCCUUGAUGUGUUUAUGAUGCUUUUUCUGAAUGUCAACUACCCGAGCUUUUAAGAACUCCUUUAAAUUCUCUUUGUUUGCAAAUAAAAAGUUUGGAAGUUGGAAGUAUUGGAGAGUUUUUAUCAGCUGCUUUGCUGCCUCCAGAGCCAUUAGCUGUCCAAAAUGUUGUGGAUUUUUCAAAGAUGAUUGGAGCAUUAGAUGUAAAUGAAAAUCUUACACAUCUUGGUUAGUUUAUAUUAAUAUAUUUAUAAAAGUUUAUUUCCUAAGAUUAUCUUUUCUCAUUUUUUCAAAAUAUACGUAAAUAUCUGGUAAUGCUUCCAUUGGAUCCGAAAUUAGGGAAAAUGCUAAUAAUGGGUGCUUUUUUUUUCGUUGCUUUGAUCAUAUUCUUACAAUUGUUGCUGGACUUAGUGUCAGGGAUCAUUUUCUUUUGCCUCAAGAGAACAAAGACCAAGCUAGUACAACAAAAUCAAUAUUUUCUGCAAAGGAUUACAAUGAUCAUAUGGCACUUGUGUGUGAAUAUGAAGGAUGGAAAGAAGCUGAAAGAGAAGGAUAUGCUUAUAAAUAUUGCUGGAGGAAUUUCCUUUAUGCUCAAACACUUCAAGCUAUACAUUCUUUAAGGAAUCGUUUAUCCAUAUUUUAAAAGAUGCUCAAUUACUUGAGACUAAAUCGGGGAUUAGCAACAGAUUAAGUCAUAAUCAAUCAUCGGUUAGCGCCAUUAUAUGCUCAGGCCUUUUUCCUGGCAUUGCAUCUGUAGUGCAUAGGGAGACAUCAAUGUCCUUCAAAACUAUAGAUGAUGUCCAAGUCUUACUCUAUGCAGUAAGUAUUAAAGAAAUAGCAAUGCACUUUCAUUCAUUUGUUUCAUAUUUUUUUCACAUUUCUCUAAUGAUAUUUUUCCUUGAGUCAUAGAAUGAUUGGCUCAUAUCUUGUUUUUUGAUAUUUAUACGCAGUUUUUUUCUUACGUCGGUGGUGGCGAAGUUCAAGAUUAAGGGAGACUUGUAAUCAUGUUUGGCAUUCCUUUCCAGUAAGAAACAGAGUUGUAUGAUUAUUUGUUAGUUUUAUAGGAAUGUAUAACACAUGU